rnacentral:rRNA from 1 species
GGGUUGUGAGGUUAAGCGACUAAGCGUACACGGUGGAUGCCCUGGCAGUCAGAGGCGAUGAAGGACGUGCUAAUCUGCGAAAAGCGUCGGUAAGGUGAUAUGAACCGUUAUAACCGGCGAUGUCCGAAUGGGGAAACCCAGUGCAAUUCGUUGCACUAUCGUUAACUGAAUACAUAGGUUAACGAGGCGAACCGGGGGAACUGAAACAUCUAAGUACCCCGAGGAAAAGAAAUCAACCGAGAUUCCCCCAGUAGCGGCGAGCGAACGGGGAGCAGCCCAGAGUCUGAAUCAGCUUGUGUGUUAGUGGAACGGUCUGGAAAGUCCGACGGUACAGGGUGAUAGUCCCGUACACCAAAAUGCACAGGUUGUGAACUCGAAGAGUAGGGCGGGACACGUGGUAUCCUGUCUGAAUAUGGGGGGACCAUCCUCCAAGGCUAAAUACUCCUGACUGACCGAUAGUGAACCAGUACCGUGAGGGAAAGGCGAAAAGAACCCCGGCGAGGGGAGUGAAAAAGAACCUGAAACCGUGUACGUACAAGCAGUGGGAGCACCUUCGGGUGUGACUGCGUACCUUUUGUAUAAUGGGUCAGCGACUUAUAUUCUGUAGCAAGGUUAACCGUAUAGGGGAGCCGCAGGGAAACCGAGUCUUAACUGGGCGUUAAGUUGCAGGGUAUAGACCCGAAACCCGGUGAUCUAGCCAUGGGCAGGUUGAAGGUUGGGUAACACUAACUGGAGGACCGAACCGACUAAUGUUGAAAAAUUAGCGGAUGACUUGUGGCUGGGGGUGAAAGGCCAAUCAAACCGGGAGAUAGCUGGUUCUCCCCGAAAGCUAUUUAGGUAGCGCCUCGUGAACUCAUCUUCGGGGGUAGAGCACUGUUUCGGCUAGGGGGUCAUCCCGACUUACCAACCCGAUGCAAACUACGAAUACCGAAGAAUGUUAUCACGGGAGACACACGGCGGGUGCUAACGUCCGUCGUGAAGAGGGAAACAACCCAGACCGCCAGCUAAGGUCCCAAAGUCAUGGUUAAGUGGGAAACGAUGUGGGAAGGCACAGACAGCCAGGAUGUUGGCUUAGAAGCAGCCAUCAUUUAAAGAAAGCGUAAUAGCUCACUGGUCGAGUCGGCCUGCGCGGAAGAUGUAACGGGGCUAAACCAUGCACCGAAGCUGCGGCAGCGACACUAUGUGUUGUUGGGUAGGGGAGCGUUCUGUAAGCCUGCGAAGGUGUGCUGUGAGGCAUGCUGGAGGUAUCAGAAGUGCGAAUGCUGACAUAAGUAACGAUAAAGCGGGUGAAAAGCCCGCUCGCCGGAAGACCAAGGGUUCCUGUCCAACGUUAAUCGGGGCAGGGUGAGUCGACCCCUAAGGCGAGGCCGAAAGGCGUAGUCGAUGGGAAACAGGUUAAUAUUCCUGUACUUGGUGUUACUGCGAAGGGGGGACGGAGAAGGCUAUGUUAGCCGGGCGACGGUUGUCCCGGUUUAAGCAUGUAGGCUGGUUAUCCAGGCAAAUCCGGAUAAUCAAGGCUGAGGUGUGAUGACGAGGCACUACGGUGCUGAAGUAACAAAUGCCCUGCUUCCAGGAAAAGCCUCUAAGCAUCAGGUAACAUCAAAUCGUACCCCAAACCGACACAGGUGGUCAGGUAGAGAAUACCAAGGCGCUUGAGAGAACUCGGGUGAAGGAACUAGGCAAAAUGGUGCCGUAACUUCGGGAGAAGGCACGCUGGUGUGUAGGUGAAGUCCCUGCGGAUGGAGCUGAGACCAGUCGAAGAUACCAGCUGGCUGCAACUGUUUAUUAAAAACACAGCACUGUGCAAACACGAAAGUGGACGUAUACGGUGUGACGCCUGCCCGGUGCCGGAAGGUUAAUUGAUGGGGUUAUCCGUAAGGAGAAGCUCUUGAUCGAAGCCCCGGUAAACGGCGGCCGUAACUAUAACGGUCCUAAGGUAGCGAAAUUCCUUGUCGGGUAAGUUCCGACCUGCACGAAUGGCGUAAUGAUGGCCAGGCUGUCUCCACCCGAGACUCAGUGAAAUUGAACUCGCUGUGAAGAUGCAGUGUACCCGCGGCAAGACGGAAAGACCCCGUGAACCUUUACUAUAGCUUGACACUGAACAUUGAGCCUUGAUGUGUAGGAUAGGUGGGAGGCUUUGAAGCGUGGACGCCAGUCUGCGUGGAGCCAACCUUGAAAUACCACCCUUUAAUGUUUGAUGUUCUAACGUUGGCCCCUGACCGGGGUUGCGGACAGUGUCUGGUGGGUAGUUUGACUGGGGCGGUCUCCUCCCAAAGCGUAACGGAGGAGCACGAAGGUUAGCUAAUCCUGGUCGGACAUCAGGAGGUUAGUGCAAUGGCAUAAGCUAGCUUGACUGCGAGCGUGACGGCGCGAGCAGGUGCGAAAGCAGGUCAUAGUGAUCCGGUGGUUCUGAAUGGAAGGGCCAUCGCUCAACGGAUAAAAGGUACUCCGGGGAUAACAGGCUGAUACCGCCCAAGAGUUCAUAUCGACGGCGGUGUUUGGCACCUCGAUGUCGGCUCAUCACAUCCUGGGGCUGAAGUAGGUCCCAAGGGUAUGGCUGUUCGCCAUUUAAAGUGGUACGCGAGCUGGGUUUAGAACGUCGUGAGACAGUUCGGUCCCUAUCUGCCGUGGGCGCUGGAGAAUUGAGGGGGGCUGCUCCUAGUACGAGAGGACCGGAGUGGACGCAUCACUGGUGUUCGGGUUGUCAUGCCAAUGGCACUGCCCGGUAGCUAAAUGCGGAAGAGAUAAGUGCUGAAAGCAUCUAAGCACGAAACUUGCCCCGAGAUGAGUUCUCCCUGAGACUUUAAGUCUCCUGAAGGAACGUUGAAGACGACGACGUUGAUAGGCCGGGUGUGUAAGCGCAGCGAUGCGUUGAG